rnacentral:rRNA from 1 species
AUUGAACGCUGGCGGCAUGCCUUACACAUGCAAGUCGAACGGUAACAGGUCUUCGGAUGCUGACGAGUGGCGAACGGGUGAGUAAUACAUCGGAACGCGCCUAGUAGUGGGGGAUAACUACUCGAAAGAGUGGCUAAUACCGCAUGAGAUCUACGGAUGAAAGCAGGGGAUCGCAAGACCUUGUGCUACUAGAGCGGCCGAUGGCAGAUUAGGUAGUUGGUGGGAUAAAAGCUUACCAAGCCGACGAUCUGUAGCUGGUCUGAGAGGACGAUCAGCCACACUGGGACUGAGACACGGCCCAGACUCCUACGGGAGGCAGCAGUGGGGAAUUGUGGACAAUGGGCGCAAGCCUGAUCCAGCAAUGCCGCGUGCAGGAUGAAGGCCUUCGGGUUGUAAACUGCUUUUGUACGGAACGAAAAGCCCUGGGUUAAUACCCUGGGGUCAUGACGGUACCGUAAGAAUAAGCACCGGCUAACUACGUGCCAGCAGCCGCUGUAAAAC